AUGUUUGUAGUGUUUGGGGAAGGUGUGAUUUGAGAUGUUUCAUCCAGAGCUUUUCACUGUUAGAAAGUGAGCUGAUGUUUUGUGUUAGCUGCAUGAUGUCAGAUUCACAGGUUGCAGAAAUAUUUUCAUGCCUUCUGGACCUCAUGCAGGGAGCUCAGGUUGCAUGAUAUUAAGUGCAGUUUUGACUCUGCAGAACUUUGUGAAACGUACGGUAGUUAUAUAAUCAACUACAUGAUUUACAAAACCCCCCACAACAUUAUUGGUAAAUUUUAAGAAGCUUAAAUAGUUUUUCAGCAUUUUUUACCCACUUGUCGACAGUUGUGGGGUCAACUAGAUUUCUGACCCAAACUGAGAUUAAAUGUGCACAUCAUGCUGGUUAUAUAACUCAAUACCCUGGAAUCCCAGCCCUAAUAAUUCUUCUCUUUAUUUUGCUGUUUAUUUCCCUUAUUCUGCCCAAGUGAGCACAUUAUAUCUGACAUUUUUGUUUUUGGAAGGAGGCAGUAGGCAUGUGUAUUUGGGAAGCGACCCACUGAGAGUAAUGAAUUUGGACACUGGAGUGUAUGUGUUGCAGAAGUGGGCGUGUGUCGCAGGCGAGCCUGAAGAUCUGGUUGGGUAAGAGCUGGGCUGUAUAAAAAGGCGGAGCGCAGCGCAGAAGCUCUUUCUCUGGUUCAGGUUCUUCUCUGUUUGGCAUCUGUUAGGAGUUUCUUCUGUCAUUUUUUCCCUGUUUGUGGAAGCAGAAGAUCCCACUGUUGUGACUGGAGUGAUUCUUUCUUCCUUUUUGCAGACGGUGAGAAGACCAUCUGUUUUCAUAAUCAGCUCUUGACUUGAGGAGUACCAAAACAAAACUUGGAAUAACAAUUUUUUUCUAUUAAGGGUGUAACUCCACAGGUCCUGAACCACCCCGGGGGUUCACUGAUCCAUCAUUUCAGGAAACAUGAUCAUCAGACUGGGCAGGCUCACACCUGGAUACUUCCGCCUUCUCCAGAGGCAGGUCGCUGGUGAGGUCCAAACGCAGCCGCAUGACCGCACCGUCAACCAGAUCGCCAUGAUGCUGGCCAUCAUGGGUCUGAGUCUGUCCUACUACAGUGCCAAACAGAUGACAGAGAAGGUCCAAGUCCAGCCUGCAGCCUGAAGAGGCUCGGUCGCUCCAGAAUCUGGAGAUGACAGAUGAACCAAUGAGAACCGGAGGAAGAAACGGAAGUAAAGGGAGGAAGAAAGGCACAGUGGUGUGUCUCGGGACAGCACUUUUCUUACCUUAGUCGUCGAUCACACCCUUCCACUGACUUCCUGGGAUCCUUCACACAUCACCAGCAGAACAUUCAGGGUCAAAUAAAAAAUAAUUCCCAUUUUCUGGUGCCAGGACCUUCAACAAUUUGGGAGAUUUACUUAUCUGGGGUCAUGGGGAGAACUGGUUUUAGUCUGUGGAAACCAGCUCACUGCCAAACGAGUCUGAGCAUUAGUCAUUACAAAGGUGCGUGCUUGCAGGAUGCCAUCAGUGCUAUAAAAAGGAGAAAAACUUUCACUGUGAAGCAAAUUUUGUCCAAAAAGUGUUAUAUUUUCUGAAUUCUCCUUUUUAAGGGAUGGCUGACUGAGCUGUGCCUCCUGAUGAAGUGAUGGCAGACCCAGAACAAGACUAAAAGGGGAUGAUACGUUACCUUUAAUCCUUUUGACUUUUUUGUUUUUUGUUCCUCUUCCAGAAUUUUAUAGAGCCUCAGAACAGAUCAGAAUCUGUGAUGUCGGGCUAUAUGCCAGCUGUGUCUGUCAGUAAAUAUUUGCACAAAACUAUCGAAACCUUUUGAAAUGCUAAAGUGGAAUCUGCAAAGGGACUCCAAAAUACUCAAUGUUUAAUGUGUGUUUUCAUUGUUUUAACAAUUCACAAGUCCUCUGUGUGUGACUGUUGAGAGCCUUUCUUGCAGGAUCUACAAAUGCUAGUGCAAUUGUGAAAUGUUAGUGAAAUGCAUGUACAUGUAGAAAUGUAAUCAUUGCAAUCUUCACGAGUCUUGUUUUUUUUUUAUUGAUGAAUGAAUGUUUCACUUUAUUUUUGCAAUGAUUUAAUAAAGCUGUGAAUAUUUUAAGAGA